rnacentral:rRNA from 1 species
CGUGGAUAACCUACCUUAAGGACCGGGAUAACAUUUUGAAAAGGAUGCUAAUACCGGAUGAAGUUUAGAUAUCAGUGAGGGUAUUUAAAUGAAAGCAUAGUCUCUACUUGUAAACUAUGGCCUUAUGAGGGGUUUGCGUCCCAUUAGCUUGUUGGUGAGGUAAAGGCUCAUCCAAGGCUAAGAUGGGUAGCUGGUCCGAGAGGAUGAUCAGCCACACUGGAACUGAAACACGGUCCAG